rfam:Lactobacillus aviarius subsp. araffinosus DSM 20653 NODE_73, whole genome shotgun sequence.
CGGUUGUUAGUAAUUAACCAAGUUGUUAGUUAUUAAUUAAUUGGACUUCAUUAACGUAGCUGUUCGCCGUGCCCACACCGAACGGUUACGCUUUUUU